rnacentral:rRNA from 1 species
CGGCGAGCGAAACGGGAACAGCCCAAACCAUACGUAUUUAUAUGUGUGGGGUUGUAGGGCGGUAGCAGCAUUUAGUUGCGCAGAGUUACCAAGUUGGAAUAUAGCAGAACUAACUGGGAAGUUAGACCCUAGUGGGUAAUAGUCCCGUAUGCGAAAUGUUCCAGCCUCUGUGGUUACCGUUCCUGAGUAGUUCGAGACAUGAAUAGCUCGAAUGAAUCUGGGAGAACUAACUCCUAAGGCUAAAUAUUUUCUUAGACCGAUAGUGAACUAGUACCGUGAGGGAAAGGCGAAAAGAACCCCGGAGAGGGGAGUGAAAUAGAUCUGAAACCAUACAUCUACAAGGAGUCGGAGCCCUGCGGGGCGACGGCGUGCCUAUUGAAGAAUGAGCCGGCGAGUGUACCUUUGUCCUUGUCUAAGUGGAAACCCCACGGAGGCACAGUGAAAGCGAGCGUGAAUAGCGCGAAAUAAUAAGGGCGGGGGUACGACCCGAAGCGGGAUGAGCUUGCCAUGAGCAGGGUGAAGCGGAAGUAAAAUUUCGUGGAGGCCCGAACCGGUUGGCUGUACAAAACCAUCGGAUGACUUGUGGUAAGGAGUGAAAAGCUUAUCGAAUUCCGUAAUAGCUGGUUCUCUCCGAAACAGCUUUAGGGUUGGCGUCACAUGUUCCUACUGGGGGUAGAGCACUGGCAGGUGUGAAUAGGGCGAAAGCUCGUCACUCCUAUCAAACUCCGAAUACCAGUAGUCAAAAGUGUGGCAGUUAGAGUCAGGGGGCGAAGCUCCUGUGCUCAAAAGGGAAACAGCCCAGAUCGCAGUUUAAGGUCCCUAAAUCGAUACUAAGUACAAGCGAGGAGGUGAGGUUUCUUCGACAGUGAGGAGGUUGGCUUAGAAGCAGCCACCCUU